CUCUUAAAGCAAUGACUUCUGAACUUGAAUGACCAGUAGAACUGGGUGGAUGACUUUAUAAAAACACAGAUUUGCAAGCCCAGCCCAGGUCUAUCAAGUAAGGAUCUUUCUAAGGAGUUAACCUCAGGUAACAGGAAACCUUUGAUGAAUUCUAAAGAGAGGAGUGCCACUGUCCAGCCUGAAAUCAACAUUCAACAUACUUCGUCAUUUUGGAGUGUAAUUUACAAGGGGAGAGAAGGAAGCGCAAAUCUUUGGUUAAAAUUCGCCAUUAGAAUUAUUUGUGUAUUAGAGUCGAUUGUCCACAUCACUCAUCUUCACUAUUACCACGGACCAAAAAAAAAAAAGGAAAGAAACUUGACUUGUGGGUGUGAGACUGUGGUGAAAUACAGAUCCUGACUCAUGCCUGGUUGGAUGUCCUCUGGAGAUGCUGUGCUCAUUAGUCUGGAGGUGUUAGUGCUUCAGUUUCUUUUAUAAGCACUUUGUUAUUUUGUCAUUGGAUAAUAAUGGAUGUGUCACAGUAAAUAUGUCUCAACUGCCUAGGAAAUGCUUACCUGCCGUAGAAUACAGUGACAUAAUUUUUGAGAUGAUAUACACCUUUCUUGUGAAGCCUCAGCUUGUUAUGAAGUUCUGGCCUCUGACUACAAUUAUUUUCUUUCGAGUAAACAUUGGAACACAUCCUGUUAACUCUCAACCUGCUCUCCAGGCAAGAUUUUUCAAAAUCUUCUGUCAUUUUAAGUAUACAGCUCAGGAACAAUACGUUUGUUCUGGAACAUAGGUACAAAUCAGGCUUCCUUGGUAGCCGAGUCAGUAGAGAAUCCACUCACUACUCUGGAGACAGGGGUUUGAUCCCUGGGCCAGGAAGAUCCCCUAGAGAAGGAAAUGGCUACCCACUCCAGUAUUCUUGCCUGGAGAAUUCCGUGGACAGAGGAGCCUGGUGGGCUACAGUCCCACAAGAGUCAGAGACGACUGAGCAACUAAACCAGCACCACCAUAGCUACAAAUGGUCAACCAGUUUUCAUUGUAGAAGCAACAGAGGGAAAAGGUAAAGGAGGUUAAAUGUAAAAAAGAUCAAUUUUCACCCCAAUCUCAUCAUUUGAAGUUUCAAGGAAUACGGUUCCUUACAUUGUACUGUGUAAAACAUUUGGACUUAUUUGCGGAUUCAUUUGAUUAACUGAUUUAUUAAAAAAACACUUGCCAUAUACUGCAUGCUAGAUGUUGGGAUGGACGAUAAGAUGAGGAAAGAUUAUAAGGCUCAAUCCAAAGGACAUAUAAUUGCAUCUUACAAUCAGACUUGGGCAGUGUACUGCAGUUAUCAGUUAAUCAACAAACAUAUUUUUUCCACAAGCUUAAUUUUUGUAAUCUCAGUACUAGGGGCUAUGGAGCAUGUAAAAAUACAUCAUACAAGACUUAUACAAUUUUUUAAAGUAUUUGUUUCCUUGGCUGGGCCAGGUAUUAGUCAUGGCACGUGGGAUCUAGUUCCCUGACCAUUGGUCAAACCUGGGCCCCUCGCAUUACGAUCAGGGAGUUACCCUGGGCUACCAGGGAAUCCCAAGAUAGAUACAAUUGAAUGAAAAAAAGGUUCAGUAAAUAUUCUUUAACCACAUAAGUAGAAACUGAGAGCAGGUAUAAUUUAAGAGGCAUUUAAAAGAUCAGCAGAU
ensembl:lncRNA